GAGCCGUAGCGUUUGGUUCCUCUAACCUCGGUCUCUCAAUGUGAGAGGGGCCGUUUCUAUGAUAAUUUAAAGGGUCACCAGGUUGGUCGUUAUGGCGCACACCUGUCACCAUCGUUACGCGCACCUGCACGUCGUCAGACUCACCUGGACUCAAUCACUUCCCUGAUUACCUUCCCUAUAUAUGUCACUCGCUUUGGUUCCCUCCCAGGCAUCAUUAUUUAUAUUUCAUGUCUGUGUGCUGUUAGUGUUUCAUUUUUGCAUUAUGUUCCAUUUAUUUUAUUAAAACACUCACUCCCUGAACUUGCUUCCCGACUCUCAGGGUACAUCGUUACACAUACAGUGGACACCAAAGCCUAUAGGCCUAUGCAUGCAAUGCCCUGAUACUCAAAUCUUUGACAGCUGAAUCGUGAGGUGGACAAUUAUUAUUUCAGGAAGUAGCCUAAAAAACAAUGGAAAAAUGGUCUAUCAAGUUUUGCAUGCGCUACACAUCGAAACAUGAGGAAUAGUGUUUUUGUCAUUUGUUAUAGCUGUUAUUAAGGACACAUAAAUUAAAAUCUUACCUGACAUGUUGUCCACUGACAAAUUUUCCAGAAGGUAACUGAAAUUGUAUAUUGUUGGUUCCAGUGGUGAUCCACGGCACGAAGCCUCCAGUGAUGAUCCAUGACAAGAAGCCUCCAGUGAUGAUCCAUGGCACCAAGCCUCCAGUGAUGAUCCAUGGCAAGAAGCCUCCAGUGAUGAUCCAUGGCAAGAUGCCUCCAGUGAUUAUCCAUGGCACAACGGCAAGGGUCCCCACACCAGAGGCGCCACCAAAGUGGGGUGAGCCAGAGUUGGAGCGGGGUCUACGUCCCGCACUAGAGCCACCACCACGGAUAGAUGCCCACCCAGACCCUCCCCUAUAUGUUCAGGUUUUGAGGCAGGAGUCCGCACCUUAGGGUGAGGGGGUACUGUCACACCCUGACCUUAGAGAGACGUUUUAUUUCACUAUUUGGUUAGGUCAGGGUGUGAUGUAGGGUGGGCAUUCUAUGUUUUGUUUUCUAUGUUUCUAUAUUUCUAUGUUUUGGCCGGGUAGGGUUCUCAAUCAGGGACAGCUGUCUAUCGUUGUCUCUGAUUGGGAAUCAUACUUAGGUAGCCCUUUUUCCCUCCUUUCACUGUGGGUAGUUAUCUUUGCUAGUGGCACUAUAGCCCUGUAAGCGUCACGGUUGUUUCUUCGUUUGUUGUUUUGCUGGCGACAUUUUAAAUAAAACAUUUAAAUGUA